rnacentral:rRNA from 1 species
GACGAACGCUGGCGGCGUGCCUAAUACAUGCAAGUCGAACGCAGUGGGGACGGUUGAGUAAAACGUGGGUAACCUCCCAUCAGAGGGGAUAAGACUUGUAAACCGGUGCUAAACCGAUAUUGAUGGCUGGACCCUCGGUUAAUUAGCUAGUUGGUGAGGUAACGGCUCACCAAGGCCACGAUGCAGAGCCGACCUGAGAGGGUGAUCGGCCACACUGGGACUGAGACACGGUCCAGACUCCGACGGGAGGCAGCAGUAGGGAAUCUUCGGCAAUGGACGAAAGCCUGACCGAGCAACGCCGCGUGAGUGAAGAAGGUUUUCGGAUCGUAAAACUCUGUCGUUAGAGAAGCGGUAUCUGACGAGAAAGCCACGGCUAACUACGUGCCAGCCGCCGCGGUAAUAC